GGCUGCUGGCUUCUCCCGCGCUCUCAGCAGCCUCAUGCAUUGCCGAUGUUUGCCCUGUCCAGGGAAGACUGUGCACUCCUCAGUGUAGCUGCCCUUCUGUUCCUCCACAGACCUCUACCUCCCUGCCCUACACCUCUCUCCACGAACUCCACGUUCUGUCAUUCCCAAUGUACAAGCUUAGCUGGCAGAACGAUGGGGUUUAUGUGUCUGGCAUCAACCCCGGGGGAGAUGGGGAGGGAAGGUAAGCUGGUUUUUGGAAAGGAGGAGAAGAAGUACUGCAACAGUGCAGCUGGAGCAAGAGUCAGGCAAAGCUGAUUAUUUCCACUUGUGUUGGUCAUAUUCACCCUACAGUCUGAUGCUGCAACCAUCUAGGCAGACAUAUCAUUUGAUGUACUGGAGUUUCUCCAUUGACGUUCUCCAAGCUAAUGGGAAUAAAUUAAGUUCAUGCAAGAGCUUUACAUGAUCCAGAUUCAAAAUACGCCCAAGUGCAAUCAAUGCCUCUAAAGUCAGCCUCUUCUUAAAAGAUCACUUUGUCUGAUGGUGUCUGCUGGAAAAGAGGAUUAAAUCCUCACCUCCAACUUGUAGGUAUGAAUUUGGGUUAGAUUUUUGUCUCUUCUGGCACUGUGUAGAUUUCUGGCUCCAAUAAAACAGUAAUAUCCUAGGGUUGUUCUAAUCUUGCUUCAACAUGAAAAGGAACACGUAAUAAUUUCAAUAAAGGGAUGUCAGCAAGACAAGCUUUUAUUAGCAGUCCCAUGCCUAUUACAAAAGCUCAUUAUCUUUUCUCCAUUUAGUGACUGGAGGAGGGAGAGUUUCAAAAGGAGGCAGAUUCCCCAGUUACUCCUGGAAACCCCUGAGAGAUCAGUGCCCUCCCUACUUGCCCACUACUCCCUAUUGUCUGUCAUUAUCUGCAUGUCUUGCACUCCUGUUUUGCCUGGUUCUAAGGUUGUUAUUACCUCCAUCUACAAAUACCAUUUGUAAAAUGGUAAAAUGCAAUGCACUUUACACUUUACAACUUCUAUCAACCAAGUGUAAAAAAGGAAGGAACUGGAAGAAACUGGGCUGUGCUGGUGGGGUAGAACAAGCUGUGAAAAAUCACUUCCAUUUCCACAGCCAACCACUGAAAAUGAAAGCUAGAACAUGAAGCUUCCCUCUGGGACUGUGUGGGUGAGUCUGAAUUCAUGAGGCCUCUCCUCAUCUCUGCUUCACACAGAGCCAGCACCUGGUCACAGAACCUGGACCAGGUUUCAGUCAGCCAUUGCUGUGUCUUCAUUUAUAAUCAUGGAAUCAUUUAGGUUGGAGAAGACCAAAGACCAAAAAUUAAAUCUAAAACUUGUCCUUUCAGAUUGUAUGGCUUUACAGUCUAAUAAAAGAAGAAGGGAAAUGUUGGAAAGAGGAAAAGGUGAAAAACCAUACGGGUGAAUAUAAGCCCCAGAAAACACAGAUCUCCACAAAGCCUUUGGGGUGGGACUUAUCUAACCAAAAAGUAAUCCUUCUCCUCAAGUAGUAGUAGAUAAGAGGAAUCAUGCCCUAAAAGUGCAUAUAUUUUCUGCCAGGAGAAGCAGACAGUAAGUACCAUCUCAGAGGAAAAAGCAUUCCUUUGCAGACACUGAAGGGAGAGAUGACAGGAAGGUGCUGCUGUCAGCUCUGAAUGCAGGCUUUGAAGAAGCAACAUCUGGGGCAGAGAACAGUUCUUGGGGGAAACAAACAUUCCCUAAUUGUGUUUUCUUGUUGUUGGGCAGAACCCCUUUAGCCAGUGCAAUGCUCCCAUUCCCACAUCCAUUGUGGUUCCUGCCAUGCAUUGGGUACCCCCACUCUGCACUGCCCUGCACCACAGGGCUGUGGACUUGCCUUGGCAGAGUGAACACAAGUUCAGAAUUUGCCUGUUUUCUGCAAAAUUUUGGUUAACAUCUUUCACAAUAUUUUUUUCAUCAAUGUUCAAAAUGCUGGGUUCUUAACCUGGUGGAACCUUCUGAUUUAUUCUUUUUUGAAGGACACCCAUUUAGCCCUAAAAACAUUCCUUUUAAAGCUGAACAGUUUUUUAGAAACACCUCUUCCUUCCCCAGCAGACGGUGCCUGAAACCUGGCUGAGCCAUGUAUCUGCAUCAUGUAAAGGCAGUGACAGGACAUAAAAAAAGUCCCCUCAGACAUAAAACACUGCUGAGCUGUUUUAUGCAUUGACAAUAUUAAUGAUUGUGGCAGGUCUAAAUCCUAAUUUCUUUAAGAACAUCGGUGUCUCAAACUGAUUUUCUGUGGCUCUUCUCUGACAAUUGGGAAGUAGAUUUUGAAUUUUCCCUUUCCUAAAUGUACUUCCAUGUCCUUGUACCACUACAUUUCAUCGCUGCCAGCUCCAUGUGCCUGCUGUUCUGCCAGAGAAAGCAUGUUAAAUGAACCCUCAAACUUGACAACUGUGGAAGGAAACCAAGACACGAAUGAUAUCUAACAUGGUUAGAGCACUGAUACCACUAUUUAACAGUGGAGAAUUAGUGAAGUUAUUGAUAAAUCAUUUUGAAGUGUGUUUUAAGCCACUUCCCAUUUGUGUAUGGUGAUUGCUUAUAAAACAUCAGCAUCAGUGAUUGCUGGAGUCUUUACUUGUAAUGCCAUCUCCACAUUACAAAAUAUCAUUUUUGUUCCAUCUGAACUAAAACUUGAUGAGCAGUCAAGAAUAGAAAAGAGAAAAGCAUUAUAUCCCACUUAGCCAAAACACACAGAAUACCAAAUUUUGUCUUAUAAACAAUGCGUGUUCCUAAUCUAACUGGAUCACAACUUCAGCUGCUACAAAUGAAAAGCUAUCACAUUUCAUCACCACUUAAUGAACUCCAAACUUGCACUGGUUUUGCUUCCAGCCCCUGUACAGAAUCCCGUGGACCUCUGUAUGUGGACAGAUUAUGGUACGUAGU